rnacentral:rRNA from 1 species
CCCGUCUUGAAACACGGACCAAGGAGUCUAACAUGUGCGCGAGUCACUCGGUCUUGAUUAGGCCAGAGAGGCGCAAUGAAAGUGAAACAUUUUUUAUGUUACGAUCCUUACAAUACAGUUGCAGUUCGGCUGUGGCUGUUGUUUGGCGCAGUAACGGCCUGCCAAUUUCGCCUGUUGACGAUCUGGCAGAGUUGUAGCGUACACGUUGGUACCCGAAAGAUGGUGAACUAUGCCUGGGCAAGACGAAGCCAGAGGAAACUCUGGUGGAGGUCUGUAGCGAUUCUGACGUGCAAAUCGAUCGUCCGACCUGGGUAUAGGGGCGAAAGACUAAUCGAACCAUCUAGUAGCUGGUUCCUUCC